AACCCAUCGUGAGGGCACCUUCUCAAUAAAUCCUUAUACCUCUUUCAUGCAUCAUAUAGGGUCUCUAAGUCCAUUUGCACAAAAGGGAGAUAUCAUUCCUUAACUU
rnacentral:snoRNA from 1 species